rnacentral:rRNA from 1 species
AGCGAACGCUGGCGGCAGGCUUAACACAUGCAAGUCGAGCGGGCGUAGCAAUACGUCAGCGGCAGACGGGUGAGUAACGCGUGGGAACGUACCUUUUGGUUCGGAACAACCCAGGGAAACUUGGGCUAAAUACCGGAUAAGCCCUUACGGGGAAAGAUUUAUCGCCAAAAGAUCGGCCCGCGUCUGAUUAGCUUGUUGGUGAGGUAACGGCUCACCAAGGCGACGAUCAGUAGCUGGUCUGAGAGGAUGAUCAGCCACAUUGGGACUGAGACACGGCCCAAACUCCUACGGGAGGCAGCAGUGGGGAAUAUUGGACAAUGGGCGCAAGCCUGAUCCAGCCAUGCCGCGUGAGUGAUGAAGGCCCUAGGGUUGUAAAGCUCUUUUGUGCGGGAAGAUAAUGACUGUACCGCAAGAAUAAGCCCCGGCUAACUUUGUGCCAGCAGCCGCGGUAAC